GACGAACGCUGGCGGCGUGCUUAACACAUGCAAGUCGAACGGAAAGGCCCGGCGUUUGUGGGGUGCUCGUUUGGCGAACGGGUGAGUAACACGUGAGUAACCUGCCCUUGACUUUGUGAUAACUUCAGGAAACUGGGGCUAUUACCGGAUAGGAGCUCCUGCUGCGUGGUGGUGGUUGGAAAGUUUCGGCGGUUGGGGCUGGACUCGCGGCUUAUCAGCUUGUUUGUGUGGUAGUUGCUUACCAAGGCUUUGACGGGUAGCCUGCCUGAGAGGGUUAACGGCCACAAUGGGACUGAGAUACGGCCCAGAAUGCUACGGGAGGCAGCAGUGGGAAACAUUGCACAAUGGGCGGAAGCCUGAUGCAGCGACGCCGCGUGCGGGAUGACGGCCUUCGGGUUGUAAACCGCUUUCGCCUGUGACGAAGCGUGAGUGACGGUAAUGGGUAAAGAAGCAACGGCUAACUACGUG
rnacentral:rRNA from 1 species